UACAGAGGGGGCAAGCGUUGUUCGGAAUUACUGGGCGUAAAGGGCUCGUAGGCGGCCAACUAAGUCAGACGUGAAAUCCCUCGGCUUAACCGGGGAACUGCGUCUGAUACUGGAUGGCUUGAGUUUGGGAGAGGGAUGCGGAAUUCCAGGUGUAGCGGUGAAAUGCGUAGAUAUCUGGAGGAACACCGGUGGCGAAGGCGGCAUCCUGGACCAACACUGACGCUGAGGAGCGAAAGCUAGGGGAGCAAACGGG
rnacentral:rRNA from 1 species